AGCUGGAACAGGAACUUGAGCUGAACCCAAAGCACCUGUGCUUGUGAGUGAUCUCCUGCUGGGCUUCUCAUGCCUGGGUCUGCAGCAGCAGGUUCCAGCCACAUCUGAGAGAAGGUGCUGCAGUGCUGAUGACAGAGUUUCCAGGGAAUCAGUGGGAAGUGAUGGCAGUGCCAAGACUCUUUGACUGCAGUUUCUGUCCUCAGGUGCUUGGGAUCCUUGCUGAAAGACUCAGGAAAGAUUAUGGAAAAGAACUUCAGUUUUGCUCUUAAAAGGAGUGAGGAUGACAGAAAUGACUGCUAGCCAAAAAGAGGAGAGAUCUCAUCAUUCUUGUGUGUGCCGUAUCUGCCAGGUCAGACAUCCUAGGCUCCAAGCACCAUAUAAAUCCUGGUCAGAGUCUGUAUCUUUUUUCUGUCCUGCAAUGAUGUAAAAAUAUCUGUGCAAAGUACAAUGUUGUUUACAGCUGGUUACUAUAGAAAAAACAAAUUGUUCUCCUUUCAAAAUAAGUCAAAUGUAAGUUGAGUGAGGUAUUUUUCUGUAAGUUCAUGUGCUCAU